UGGGGAAUCUUCCGCAAUGGACGAAAGUCUGACGGAGCAACGCCGCGUGAGUGAAGAAGGUUUUCGGAUCGUAAAAACUCUGUCUUUUGGGGCGAACGUGAGUAUGGUGAACAAUCAUAUCUAGUGACGGUACCAAAGGAGGAAGCCACGGCUAACUACGUGCCAGCAGCCGCGGUAAUACGUAGGUGCAAGCGUUGUCCGGAAUUAUUGGCGUAAAGAGCGCGUAGGCGGGAUAGUCAGUCUGUUGUAAAGUGCGGGGCUCAACCCCGUGAUCGCAAUGGAACAGCUAUUCUUGAGUGCAGGAGAGGAAGUGGAAUUCCCAGUGUAGCGGUGAAUGCGUAGAUAUUGGGAGGAACACCAGUGGCGAAGGCGACUUUCUGGACUGUGUCUGACGCUGAGGCGCGAAAGCCAGGGGAGCGAACGGGAUUAGAUACCCCGGUAGUCCUGGCCGUAAACGAUGGGUACUAGGU
rnacentral:rRNA from 1 species